AGUGAACGCUGGCGGCGUGCUUAACACAUGCAAGUCGAACGGAUCAAAGUAGCUUGCUAUUUUGGUUAGUGGCGCACGGGUGAGUAAUGUAUAGCUAACCUGCCCUUUAGUGGGGGACAACAGUUGGAAACGACUGCUAAUACCCCAUACUCCUUCUUGCCAUAAGGUGAGUCGGGAAAGAUUUAUUGCUAAAGGAUGGGGCUUUAUUGUAUCAGCUAGUUGGUGAGGUAAUGGCUCACCAAGGCUAUGACGCAUACCUGGUCUGAGAGGAUGAUCAGGCACACUGGAACUGAGACACGGUCCAGACUCCUACGGGAGGCAGCAGUGGGGAAUAUUGCACAAUGGAGGAAACUCUGAUGCAGCAACGCCGCGUGGAGGAUGACGCAUUUCGGUGUGUAAACUCCUUUUAUAAGGGAAGAUAAUGACGGUACCUUAUGAAUAAGCACCGGCUAACUCCGUGCCAGCCGCCGCAGUAA
rnacentral:rRNA from 1 species